GUGAGCUUUGGGGGGAGACAGCCUAGAGAUCAGGCAAGUGAGCGAUGGGAGGCAGCUUACAGAUCAGGUAAGUGAGAGAUGGGGGUAGCGUACAGAUCAGGUAAGUGAGGGAUGGUGGUUGCAGCCUACAGAUCAGGUAAGUGAGGGAUGGGGGGAGACAGCCUACAUAUCAGGUAAGUGAGGGAUGGGGGGUGCAGCCUACAGAUCAGGUAAGUGAGAGGAUGGGGGAGACAGCCUACAUAUCAGGUAAGUGAGGCAUGGGUGGCAGCCUACAGAUCAGGUAGGUGAGGGAUGUGGGGGGGGGAACAGCCUACAGAUCAGGUAAGUGAGGCAUGGGGGGAGAUAGCUUACAGAUCAGGUAAGUGAGGGAUGGGGGGCAGCCUACUGAUCAGUUAAUUGAGGCAUGAGAGGCAGCCUGCAGAUCAGGUACGUGAGGGGUUGGGGGGAAGCCUACUGGCCAGGUAAGUGAGGGAUGGGGCAGCUUGCAGAUCAGGUAAGUAAGAGAUGGGGGGGCAGCCUACUGGUCAAGUAAGUGAGGGAUGGGAGGGGCAACCUACAGACCAGGCAAGUGAAGAAUGGUGGGGCAG